UACGUAGGGGGCAAGCGUUGUCCGGAUUUAUUGGGCGUAAAGAGCGUGUAGGCGGCUUUACAGGUCCGUUGUGAAAACUCGAGGCUCAACCUCGAGACGCCGGUGGAAACCGUAAGGCUAGAGUCCGGAAGAGGCGAGUGGAAUUCCUGGUGUAGCGGUGGAAUGCGCAGAUAUCAGGAGGAACACCAAUAGCGAAGGCAGCUCGCUGGGACGUUACUGACACUGAGGCGCGAAAGCGUGGGGAGCGAACAGG
rnacentral:rRNA from 1 species